AACUAACGCUGGCGGCGUGCCUAAUACAUGCAAGUCGAACGCGAAAGUCCUUCGGGAUGAGUAGAGUGGCGCACGGGUGAGAAACACGUGGGUAAUCUGCCCAGAAGUGGGGAAUAACUCCUCGAAAGAGGAGCUAAUACCGCAUAAGACCACGACAACUAAGGUUGUUGGGGUUAAAGGUGACCUCUGUUUACAAGUUAUCGUUUCUGGAUGAGCCUGCGCAACAUUAGCUAGUUGGUGAGGUAAUGGCCUACCAAGGCUACGAUGUUUAGCUGGUCUGAGAGGAUGAUCAGCCACACUGGAACUGAGACACGGUCCAGACUCCUACGGGAGGCAGCAGUAGGGAAUAUUGCUCAAUGGGGGAAACCCUGAAGCAGCAACGCCGCGUGAGUGAUGAAGGCCUUCGGGUCGUAAAGCUCUGUUGUACGGGGAGAACGUGGGUAUGGCUAACAUCCAUAUCCAGUGACGGUACCGUAUAAGAAAGGGACGGCUAAC
rnacentral:rRNA from 1 species